UACGUAGGGUGCGAGCGUUAAUCGGAAUUACUGGGCGUAAAGCGUGCGCAGGCGGUUCGUUGUGUCGGUGGUGAAAGCCCCGGGCUUAACCUGGGAAUGGCCAUGGAAACUGGCGAACUGGAGUGUGGCAGAGGGGGGUGGAAUUCCGCGUGUAGCAGUGAAAUGCGUAGAGAUGCGGAGGAACACCGAUGGCGAAGGCAGCCCCCUGGGCUAGCACUGAUGCUCAGGCACGAAAGCGUGGGGAGCAAACAGG
rnacentral:rRNA from 1 species